rnacentral:rRNA from 1 species
AACGUAGGACGCAAGCGUUAUCCGGAGUUACUGGGCGUAAAGCGCGGGCAGGCGGUCUUGCCAGUCUGAUGUGAAAUCUCUCCGCUCAACGGGGAGCAGCCAUUGGAAACUACAAGACUGGAGUCUGACAGAGGUAGGCGGAAUUCCGGGUGGAGUGGUGAAAUGCGUAGAGAUCCGGAGGAAUACCGGUGGCGAAAGCGACUCUCUGGACGGCAACUGACGCUGAGGCACGAAAGCGUGGGGAGCAAACAGG